AAUCACUAAUUACUCUUAUAAAAAUUAGAAUUUUUAGGAUUUAAGAACUCUUCAAUUUCCCUUCCGAUCAUCCCGAAUCCUCGAGAUUUCUUUCGAUUGAACUCAUUUCUCUCUUCUUCGCCACGCACUCUUGUCUCUGUAAGCGGUGAUUUUGGUUCUGGACAAUGUCUCGUGUUUAUGUUGGGAAUUUAGACCCUCGAGUCAGUGAGAGGGACCUCGAAGAUGAAUUUCGUAUAUAUGGUGUUCUUAGGAGUGUCUGGGUUGCUCGAAGACCACCGGGAUAUGCAUUUAUUGAGUUUGAUGAUAGGAGGGAUGCACUUGAUGCAAUUCAGGCCUUGGAUGGAAAAAAUGGUUGGCGUGUAGAGCUUUCUCAUAAUUCCAAGGGUGGUGGCCGAGGAGGGCGUGGGCGUGGAGGUGAAGACACAAAAUGCUAUGAAUGUGGUGAACCUGGACACUUUGCUCGGGAGUGCCGAUUGCGCAUUGGAUCACGUGGCCUUGGAAGUGGAAGGAGGCGAAGUCCAAGUCCUUAUCGGCGUCGUAGAAGUCCGAGUUAUGGUUAUGAUCGCAGUAGUUAUAGCCCUCGUGGGAGAAGAUCUCCAAGACGACGUAGCAUUUCACCUCCCUGGGGUCGCAACUACAGCAGGUCCCCUCCAUAUCGUCCUCGCCGUGAUUCACCUUAUGCCAAUGCGUAUGUUUAUGUUCAACUCAGUUGUUCUUUACUCUGAGAGUAGAUUAAAAUCAGAAUGUGAACGGAGCAAGUGCUGAAUAGUUGUUAGGAUGUUCUCUCUGCUAUAGUGUAGUUCCUCUAGGAUUGGUUGAGCAUACCACAGACAUGUUAGUUAUGUUGAUGUCAUGACAAUGGGUAUUGUUAAGAACUUGGCUUUUGAUGGAACUACAUAGGGUUGUAGCUGGCAAAAGGGUGCGUUGGACACUGUUUUGCAUUGGCUGUCUCUCUUCAGCUUACUGAAACCUGAAGGUGCCUAAAAUGUUCACGUUUCUUUGUUUUGAGGUGUGAUUACCGGCCAAAACAGCACCAUUUUGCCACUUACUACGUCUUGCCUGCUUCUCUGCUUCAUGCCCCCUCAAUCGUCUCAUCUUGUUUCUGCAUCUAAGUUGACUAAAAGUUCAAUGUCAACAAGUUGGUUGUGUAUGACCUUUUUGCUUACUGUUCAGGAAAGGAAUGCUACAUAUGCAUCCCCCUUAGGAUUUGGAGGAGUCUAAAGGUGGAUGAUAGAAUGUAGUCAUUGGCUUGCUGUAUCUUCAUGAAAUUAAGAUAAAUUAGGAAUUAUUUAGCGAGUAACUGCAUAUAGUGUCUGCUUCACACCAUUCUAUAUGGUCAUAUUGAUGGUUGCUGCUUCUAAUUGUCUGCAUCUUGAUUAGAAUGUUACUUGUUUCAUCCGUGGUCUCUGAUAUAUGCUUGCCGUUUGGGAGCAAUGGUCAUCAUCUUGGUUGUGUAGGACACUGUAUUGUGUAUCCUCCUUCGGCAAAUCACCUGUUGAUCUAUGAUCUCUAAGGACUGGGACUAGAAAGAGUGAUUCCAUUUAACCAAAUGAGUACUUGCCAAAUGUCUUUCAUUCUCCACUUGCUGCUCUGCUCUUUGUGAUCUGUGUCCACAGCUUUCUCAUUUGACUGAUUAACUUUUGCAUGCUUCUGUAUGGAAUUUUGUGUCAUCUUCAGCUACUGGGAUCUGUCACUUUGUCUCCCAUCUGCAGUUUUGUUUUGCUAAAUAUCGUCCGCUCCUAAUCAAGUGUAUUAACUCCGGUUGAUUGGAAGCAUUGAUUGCAUUAAGAUGUUUGAAUUUGAGGAAUUCGUUGCUUCUUGUCCUUGUCUUAGAAUGUGAGUUUAGUGUUGCCACUUGCGUAUAGCUCCAUUAAGAUUAGUUGAUUUUGAUCUGGUUAAUUAUGUUUUAAGUAUUAAGUACCUUUUUUGUAAAAAAAAA